GUCCUUUAGAAUUUAAAGCUAGAGGUGCCAGAAAAGUUACCACAGGGAUAACUGGCUUGUGGCAGCCAAGCAUUCAUAGCGACAUUUCUUUUUGAUCCUUUGAUGUUGGCUCUUCCUAACAUACCAAAGCAGAAUUUGGUAAGUGUUGGAUUGUUCACUCACUAAUGGGAAUGUGAGCUGGGUUGAGACCGUUGUGAUACAGUUUAGUUUUACCCUACUGAUGGUGUGUCAUUUUAAUAGGAAUUGAACUUAGUAAAAGAGGAACUGUUCAUUCACGUAAUUGGUAUCUACACCUGUUUGAGAUGACAAUGGUGUGAAGCUCCACAUGCUGGAUUAUGGCUGAACGCCUCUAAGCCAGAACCCAUGCUAGAAACAAUUAUUUUGUCCCGUGCAUCUCAAAGUUGUGUUGAAAUAGAGCUUCAUGCUUGUUGUGGAUCUUAUUGGUUUUGGGGGCUCAAGCGGACACCAGAGGAGGAUUGGGCGGACGAGAGUCGUUUUGGAGGGCGCUGCAGGGGGCAAGAUGGGCCGGCGGAGCGCCAAGGGGGUCUGG
rnacentral:ncRNA from 1 species